ACAAAGGGCAGUUUUCAGAACGAGAGUAUUUGUUACGGAAAAAUGGAGAUCAAAGCUGUUUUCUGGUCACUGUUCGUCUUCUUGCUCGGUGUCCAACUCGCGUUAGGACGUGCACCACAUUUAAAAGACCACGCAUUAGCUUAAAGGGAAAAUAAAGUCAAGACGAGGCUAUGUGCAAACCGGACUGAGGUGUCGAGGAGGCGUCACUCGAUGAAAAAUGCGUCUGUGUGAAAAACAAAUAAAUAAAUGGAUAUGGAAA